AAGCCCGAUAUGCCACGCCGUCUGGAGAAUGGCUCGGCUUGAGAGCCGAAGAAGGGCGCGGCAAGCCGCGAAAGAGCCCCGGGUAAGCGCAUGCAGCCUUAGAACCGGGGACACCCGAAUGGGACUUCCCACAUCGGUUCUUCGGAACCGCUGUGCUCCCGAAUGGGAGCGGGAACCCCCCGAACUGAAGCAUCUUAGUAGGGGGAGGAAAAGAAACCAAAAGGGAUUCCCCUAAUAGCAGCGAGCGAAAAGGGAAAAGUCCAAACCAAAUCCCACAGGGAAACCUGCGGGAGAUGUAGAGUUACAGGCCCAGCUUCCUCCUAACUGGCGAAGCCGAAGUGGCCUGGAAAGGCCUGCCAAAGAAGGUGAAAGCCCAGUAAGCAUAAACCAGAAGGAGCUGAGCUGGAGUCCUAGAAUACCGUACCCUGGUUUGGGUGCGGAAAGUUGGAAGACACCAACUCCCAAGACUAAACACAUCUCAAGACCGAUAGCGUACUAGUACGGUGACGGAAAACUGAAAAGUACCCCGGAAGGGGGGUGCAAAGAGCCUGAAACCAGACGGUUACAGACGUGUGCAGCCCGGAAGGGCAGAUCCCUCCCAAAGGAAACCGUCGUGAGGCGGCAGUACGAAGGAGGGGGACCAGGGUUGCACGUUCCGUCUCGAAACACGGGCCGGGGAGUUCACAGCCGUGGCAAGCCUAAGGGUCUAAAAGCCCGUAAGCAAAGGGAAACCGAGAUGCGCGCAACCAGCCUUCUGGCUGGCCAGGCGCAGGGUCUGAAAGGGCCCGAAGUCACAGCUGUGAAAACUAGAAACCAGGCGAUCUAGCCCUGGGCAGGGCGAAGCUAGGCGAAAGCUUAGUGGAGGCCCGCAAGGGUGCUGACGUGCAAUUCGUUCCUCAGACCUGGGGCUAGGGGCGAAAGACCAAUCUAGCCUGGUGAUAGCUAGUUCCCUCCAAAGUGGGUCUCAGCCCAGUCUCAAGCGAGGCAGCUGGUGGGGUAGAGCUCUGAUUGGAAAGUAAGGAGUCGAAAGACUCCGCUUUUCUUUCAAACUUCGAAUUCAUCAGCACCGUAGACCUUGGGAAACGGGUUACGGGGGGUAAGCUCCCGGACCGAGAGGGGGACAACCCAGACUGAGGUUAAGGCCCCAAAGUGCUGGCUAAAUGUCAAACUGAAGGGCGUCGUCAGCCUCAGACAGCGGGGAGGUAGGCUUAGAAGCAGCCAUCCUUCAAAGAAAGCGUAACAGCUCACCCGCCGAGGCUGACGGCCCCGAAAAUGGACGGGGCUAAGCCAGCCGCCGAUACCUCAGGACGCAACCAUGUGUUGCGCCGGUAGGAGGGCGUCCUGGCUGGGUAGAAGCUGGGCCGUGAGGUCCAGUGGACCGGUUCAGGAGUGCAGAUCCCGGUGGUAGUAACAGCAAAGAGAGGUGAGAAUCCUCUCCGCCGAAGGGGCCAGGGUUCCCCGGCAAUGUUCGUCAGCCGGGGGUAAGUCGGUCCUAAGGCAUGGCCUAACCGAGCAUGCCGAAAGGGAAUCCGAUUAAAAUUUCGGAACCACGGAGGUACAUGCGGCAACGCAAGCUCAACGCCUGACGCUUCGAGGUAGGCUGAGCAAGGCUGUCGCCUUGUUUAACCGCAUAAGUCUGGGGAGUACCGUAAUGGUGAGAACCAGAUGAAAACGGGAAUAGCCGCCCGUUUUAGGGCGGUUCAGCUGAUUUUUGGAGCCAUUGAAAAGGGCGUUGGGAUGGAUCCUUCGUGACCGUACCUAGAACCGACACAGGUGUCCCUAGGCGAGAAACCUAAGGCGUGUCGGGUAUACACUAGAGCGAGGGAACUCGGCAAUUUAGCCCCGUACCUUCGGUAUAAGGGGUGCCUGCUGUUUCAGUCUCUGACUUUAAUAGCAGGUCGCAGUAGCAAAGGGGUCCCGACUGUUUAAUAAAAACAUAGGAAGCCGCAAGCGCGAAAGCGUGUGAACGGCUUCUGAAUCCUGGCCAGUACAGGUACCUCAAACCUGG
rnacentral:rRNA from 1 species